rnacentral:rRNA from 1 species
AACGCUAGCUACAGGCUUAACACAUGCAAGUCGAGGGGCAGCAUGAUUGAAGCUUGCUUCAAUUGAUGGCGACCGGCGCACGGGUGAGUAACACGUAUCCAACCUGCCGAUAGCUCGGGGAUAGCCUUUCGAAGGAAAGAUUAAUACCCGAUAGUAUAGUAUUUCCGCAUGGUUUCACUAUUAAAGAAUUUCGGUUAUCGAUGGGGAUGCGUUCCAUUAGAUAGUUGGCGGGGUAACGGCCCACCAAGUCAACGAUGGAUAGGGGUUCUGAGAGGAAGGUCCCCCACAUUGGAACUGAGACACGGUCCAAACUCCUACGGGAGGCAGCAGUGAGGAAUAUUGGUCAAUGGACGAGAGUCUGAACCAGCCAAGUAGCGUGAAGGAUGACUGCCCUAUGGGUUGUAAACUUCUUUUAUACGGGAAUAAAGUGGAGUAUGCAUACUCCUUUGUAUGUACCGUAUGAAUAAGGAUCGGCUAACUCCGUGCCAGCAGCCGCGGUAAUACGGAGGAUCCGAGCGUUAUCCGGAUUUAUUGGGUUUAAAGGGAGCGUAGGCGGGUGCUUAAGUCAGUUGUGAAAGUUUGCGGCUCAACCGUAAAAUUGCAGUUGAUACUGGGCGCCUUGAGUGCAGCAUAGGUAGGCGGAAUUCGUGGUGUAGCGGUGAAAUGCUUAGAUAUCACGAAGAACUCCGAUUG